GCCAACUUCACUUCUGUCACUUUUUCAAAAAACGUGGGGCGAGCGGCGUCUAAAAUAAUAAAUACAAAAAUGUGAGGCAGAUGUCUUGGCGUUCUGUGCCUAUGAGCCGGCAACGUUUGAAAUGAAACAAAAUGGAGGGUCUUCCCAAAACACGUGUCUCCUGAAAAUGUACUUCUCUAAAGAAAUUAAAUAAGAGAUGUCAACUUCUAUUGAUUCUUGGAACAAUAUUUAAAAAAGUUCGAGUAAGUUAUCUUCCGAGAUGGCGAUAAAUCCUAUAAAUAGACGAAAAAAGAUCUCCUGGAAAACUGGAAGGUGCUAUAAUGAAGGCUGAACUUAUUUAAAAAAAGGGUUUUGGAAUAUAGAGGAAGCCGAUAAUCAUCCCUUACCUGGUUGGAUAACUAAGCCACGAUAUGAUCUGGAAGUGUCCAGCUCCUGAUUAAACACAAUUUUUUAAACACGUUAAAUAAAAGACUUCUUUAAAUGUUA